GACGAAUGCUGGCUGCGUGCUUAACACAUGCAAGUCGAACGGUGAAGGAGGGCUUGCCCUCCGGAUCAGUGGCGAACGGGUGAGUAACACGUGGGCAACCUGCCCCUCACUCUGGGAUAACGCCGGGAAACCGGCGCUAACACCGGAUACGACCAGGCGCGACAUCUCGCCUGGUGGAAAGAAUUUCGGUGAGGGAUGGGCCCGCGGCCUAUCAGCUAGUUGGUGGGGUAACGGCCCACGAAGGCGACGACGGGUAGCCGGCCUGAGAGGGCGACCGGCCACACUGAGACUGAGACACGGCCCAGACUCCUACGGGAGGCAGCAGUGGGGAAUAUUGCGCAAUGGGCGAAAGCCUGACGCAGCGACGCAGCGUGAGGGACGAAGGCCUUCGGGUUGUAAACCUCUUUCAGCGGGGACGAAGCGAAAGUGACGGUACCCGCAGAAGAAGCACCGGCUAACUACGUGCCAGCAGCCGCAGUAACAC
rnacentral:rRNA from 1 species